GAUGAACGCUGGCGGCGUGCCUAAUACAUGCAAGUCGAACGAAUCUUCUUCGGAAGAUGAGUGGCGAACGGGUGAGUAAUACAUAGGUAACCUGCCCCUGUGCGGGGGAUAACAGGAGGAAACUCCUGCUAAUACCGCAUAGCCAUGAGCACCGCAUGGAGCUCAUGCCAAAUAUCCUUUCGGGGAUAGCGCAGGGAUGGACCUAUGGCGCAUUAGCUUGUUGGCGGGGCAACGGCCCACCAAGGCAACGAUGCGUAGCCGGCCUGAGAGGGCGGACGGCCACAUUGGGACUGAGACGCGGCCCAGACUCCUACGGGAGGCAGCAGUAGGGAAUUUUCGGCAAUGGGGGAAACCCUGACCGAGCAACGCCGCGUGAGCGAAGAAGGCCUUCGGGUCGUAAAGCUCUGUUGUAAAGGAAGAACGGCGCAUACAGGAAAUGGUAUGCGAGUGACG
rnacentral:rRNA from 1 species